rnacentral:lncRNA from 1 species
CAGGAAGUGGAGCAGGGCGGCUAUGGUUACAGCGGCUUGUCAGGGAAUGAUGGUGCUGCGCGGAGUCCGCCACAGGAAGUGGAGCAGGGUCGUGGUCGUUUUGAGGGCCUGUCAGGGGGCGUGGAUCUGUCGAUUGAAGCUCGGUAACGGCCGGAGCCCAGUUUCUGUUGAGGUGCGGGUGAGGUCCUCCUGGCGGUAGGGGUCGUGGGCAGAGCCCGGCUCCCGUAGGAGUCCGGGCGGAGCUGCUCUGAUGUCGACGGUGGAGUCUGGCUCCCGU